UACAGAGGGUGCAAGCGUUAAUCGGAAUUACUGGGCGUAAAGCGAGCGUAGUCGGUUAUUUAAGUCGGAUGUGAAAUCCCCGGGCUCAACCUGGGAAUUGCAUUCGAUACUGGGUAGCUAGAGUUCGGCAGAGGGAAGUGGAAUUUCGGGUGUAGCGGUGAAAUGCGUAGAUAUCCGAAGGAACAUCAGUGGCGAAAGCGGCUUCCUGGACCAGAACUGACGAUCAGGCUCGAAAGCGUGGGGAGCAAACAGG
rnacentral:rRNA from 1 species